rnacentral:rRNA from 1 species
GAUGAACGCUGGCGGCGUGCCUAACACAUGCAAGUCGAGCGGACAGACGAUGCUUUUGCUUGGCUGACGUGAGGGGCGGGCGGGUGAGUCACACGUGUAUCCCCUCCUUAUAAGAGUGGUAUCACUUCGGGAAAGCGGAUAUAAUCCCGGAGAAGAUAUUGAACCGCGGGGGUGAUUGGAGAAAGACGGUGUUGCUGGCUCUACUAGCGGCUUACCAGCUGGAUUGGCUAGUUGGUAAGGUAACGGCUUACCAAGGCAAGGAGGCGUGGCCGAACUGAGAGGGUGAUCGGCGACACUGGAACGGGAACACGGUCCAGACGCCUACGGGAGGCAGCAGUCGGGAAUCUUCGGCAAUGGGCGAAAGCCUGACGGAGCAACGCCGCGUGUGUGAUGACGGUCUUCGGAUCGUAAAGCUCUGUUACUAGGGAUGAACAGAUGUGUAAUUAACUGUGCCCGUCUUGACGGUACCGAAUCAGAAAGCACCGGCUAACUACGUG